GAUGAAGAACGUAGCGAAAUGCGAUAAGUAAUGUGAAUUGCAGAAUUCAGUGAAUCAUCGAAUCUUUGAACGCACAUUGCGCCCGCCAGUAUUCUGGCGGGCAUGCCUGUCUGAGCGUCAUUUCAACCCUCAUGCCCCUAGGGCGUGGUGUUGGGGAUCGGCCAAGGCCCGCGAGGGACGGCCGGCCCCUAAAUCUAGUGGCGGACCCGUCGUGGCCUCCUCUGCGAAGUAGUGAUAUUCCGCAUCGGAGAGCGAUGAGCCCCUGCCGUUAAACCCCCAACUUUCCAAGGUUGACCUCAGAUCAGGUAGGAAUACCCGCUGAACUUAAGCAUAUCAAUAAGCGGAGGA
rnacentral:misc_RNA from 1 species